rnacentral:lncRNA from 1 species
AAGCAAUUUAGAUAGGUAAACCGUUUCCAGAAAACGUAUACAUCCUGAUGUAUGUGAGUGAUCGAGGCUUUAUUUAAGUCCUUGUAACAUUAAGUUUUUAAAGUCAGAAAUACAAAACAAUUAGUGAGAAACCAACUAAAUACAGUUAAUCCCUACUCCUACUCCUAAAUCUCAAGAGAGUCAUAUUGCUUUGGGGAAACAUCUCAGUGACUAAUAGAACAAAAUCCAGAUUAUAAAAACAUAUUUGAAAUGGUUAAUUUCUGUGUAUUCCCAUGAGCCCCAAUCACCCUGUAUUUUGUAAAUGUGGCCUCAUAGUUCCUUUGGCCGGGCUGCCUCUCAGGACCCCAGGUAGGACUUGCCUCCCUGUAUAGCAUCCUGGAUUUUUGCUGUUUGGUAUGAGUGAUUUUCAGGCUUUGCUUACCUUCCAUGUCAUCUGCAUGUGAGACUAGCUGAUUUUGUUUCCUAAUUUGCAAGUAGAAUGUGAUUGGAAUGCGACUUCACAGGUAGUGAAGAAUAUUGGCAAGGGCUCCACUUAAUGUUACUGUGCAACUUUGGUGAGGGCGUUUAAUAAAGAGGAUUAACGUUACCUAUUUACCUGAGUGUGAGCUGACCAUGUGCCUUUUCUUUUGUGAUCCACUGAACUACUGACUCUACUUGUGCUUGUCUUUCUGUUUAUUUUUACCAUUCCCUGUGUGAAUAGCUAGAAAUGGGAAUGGAAUGUUCAGUUCUUUCUGUAAGUGUUCCUGUCAGUCAAGGCAGCUUAUGACUAGCUCUCUCCAUUUGUUUCAGUGAACAGCCUAUCCCGCUCCAAGUAUUGUUAAGCCAAGAGGCCCAACUGGAAUCCGGCAUGGAUACAGAGUUUGGGGCCAGUUCUUUCUUCCAUUCACCUGCUUCCUGCCAUGAGUCACACUCAUCACUAUCUCCAGAGUCAUCUGCCCCACAGCACAGCUCCCCCAGUAGAUCUGCCUUGAAGCUUCUGACUUCGGUUGAAGUAGACAACAUUGAACCCUCUGCAUUCCACAGGCAAGGUUUACCUAAAGCACCAGGGUGGACUGAGAAGAAUUCUCAUCAUAGUUGGGAGCCAUCGGAUGCCCCAGAGGGUAAGCCGCAAGGCUCUAGGUGUGACAACAGCAGUUGCAGCAAGCUCCCUCCACAAGAAGGAAGAGGCAUUGCUCAAGAACAGCUGUUCCAAGAAAAGAAGGAUCCUGCUAACCCCUCCCCGGUGAUGCCUGGAAUAGCCACCUCUGAGAGGGGUGAUGAACACAGCCUAGGCUGUCGUCCUUCAAAUUCAUCAGCUCAGCCCAGCCUUCCCCUGUAUAGAACCUGCCACCCCAUAAUGCCUGUUGCUUCUUCAUUUGUGCUUCACUGUCCUGAUCCUGUGCAGAAAACUAACCAAUGCCUCCAAGGCCAAAGCCUCAAAACUUCAUUGACUUUAAAAGUGGACAGAGGCAGUGAGGAGACCUAUAGGCCAGAGUUUCCCAGCACAAAGGGGAUUGUCCGUUCUCUGGCUGAGCAGUUCCAGAGGAUGCAGGGUGUCUCCAUGAGGGAUAGUACAGGUUUCAAGGAUAGAAGUUUGUCAGGUAGUCUAAGGAAGAACUCUUCCCCUUCUGAUUCUAAGCCUCCUUUCUCACAGGGUCAAGAGAAAGGCCACUGGCCAUGGGCAAAGCAACAAUCCUCUCUGGAGGGUGGGGAUAGACCACUUUCCUGGGAAGAGUCCACUGAACAUUCUUCUUUUGCCUUAAACUCUGGGCUGCCUAAUGGUGAAAUUUCUAGCGGAGGACAGCCCAGGUUGGCAGAGCCAGACAUAUACCAAGAGAAGCUGUCCCAAGUGAGAGAUGUUAGGUCUAAGGAUCUGGGCAGCAGUACUGACUUGGGGACUUCCUUGCCUUUGGAUUCCUGGGUGAAUAUUACAAGGUUCUGUGAUUCUCAGCUUAAACAUGGGGCACCUAGGCCAGGAAUGAAGUCCUCCCCUCAUGAUUCCCAUACGUGUGUAACCUAUCCAGAGAGAAAUCACAUCCUUUUGCAUCCACAUUGGAACCAAGACACAGAGCAGGAGACCUCAGAAUUGGAGUCUCUGUAUCAGGCCAGUCUUCAGGCUUCUCAAGCUGGCUGUUCUGGAUGGGGGCAGCAGGAUACCGCCUGGCACCCACUUAGCCAAACAGGCUCUGCAGAUGGCAUGGGGAGGAGGUUGCACUCAGCCCAUGAUCCUGGUCUCUCAAAGACUUCAACAGCAGAAAUGGAGCAUGGUCUCCAUGAAGCCAGAACAGUGCGUACUUCUCAGGCUACACCUUGCCGAGGCCUCAGCAGGGAGUGUGGGGAGGAUGAGCAGUACAGUGCAGAGAAUUUACGUCGCAUCUCACGCAGUCUCAGUGGCACCGUUGUCUCAGAGAGGGAGGAAGCUCCGGUUUCUUCCC